GAAAUGCGAUAAGUAAUGUGAAUUGCAGAAUUCAGUGAAUCAUCGAAUCUUUGAACGCACAUUGCGCCCGCCAGUAUUCUGGCGGGCAUGCCUGUUCGAGCGUCAUUUCAACCAUCAAGCCCCGGGCUUGUGUUGGGGACCUGCGGCUGCCGCAGGCCCUGAAAACCAGUGGCGGGCUCGCUGUCACGCCGAGCGUAGUAGAUUCUCAUCUCGCUCAGGGCGUGCUGCGGGUUCCGGCCGUAAAACAGCCUUAUUUUACCCAAGGUUGACCUCGGAUCAGGUAGGAAGACCCGCUGAACUUAAGC
rnacentral:misc_RNA from 1 species